UAGUAUUGAUGCAAAAGUAACUGCGGUUUUUGCCAUUCAAAGUAAUGGCAAAAUCUGCAAUUACUUUUGCACCAACAUAAUAUCUUU
rnacentral:miRNA from 10 species